GAGAACGAGGUGUCCGGAGCCGGA
rnacentral:siRNA from 1 species